rnacentral:lncRNA from 1 species
ACUCAGAAAGAGCCAGCAGGAAAGUCCUCUGCCUGGAAUAGCAAAGCUGCAGUCGAUAAUGAAGACACCAGUAUUGCUGGUAAUCAAUCAUCUGAUUUCCAGAGUGGUGGUGGUUGGAAUGCCUCCAAACCACCAAAUGAAGGAUGGUCUUCUGGUUGGAAUAAGAAUUCAGUCUCAAAGGAGGUAGGAGGUUCUAAUGGAAACCAGUCUGAUUGGGACAUCAAAUGAAGGAUGGUCAUCUGGUUGGAAUAAGAAUUCAGCCUCAAAGGAGGUAGGAGGUUCUAGUGGAAACCAGUCUGAUUGGGACAAAAAAUCUGGUGAAUCUGGGAGCAAGCAGUCAGCUGGUUGGGACAAUAAGAUCACU